UACAGGGGGGGCAAGCGUUGUUCGGAAUUACUGGGCGUAAAGGGUUCGUAGGUGGCUUGCUAAGUCAGACGUGAAAUCCCUCAGCUUAACUGGGGAACUGCGUCUGAUACUGGCGAGCUUGAGUGCAGGAGAGGAACGCGGAAUUCCAGGUGUAGCGGUGAAAUGCGUAGAUAUCUGGAGGAACACCGGUGGCGAAGGCGGCGUUCUGGACUGCAACUGACACUGAGGAACGAAAGCCAGGGGAGCAAACGGG
rnacentral:rRNA from 1 species